rnacentral:sRNA from 1 species
GGAUGAGAGACUGAUCUGACUGUGGUAUCUCUCACCUUACUGACCUCCAGAAUUGAUUCCGCUCAUCUGGCUGGCUUGGCGGUUGUCUGCUUUUCUCUCACUGCUCCAUGUGUGGCCUUCCCAAAGCUGUAUUCUUGGUUAAAAAUGAUGGCUUUCCCCAGUAGAGGAAGAUCAUUCUUCAGCCAAGGGUGUACGGGCAGCUGCACUCUCCUGUGGGAACCUCCAGCUCUUGAGCUA